rnacentral:lncRNA from 1 species
AGCAGGCCAUGUGUAGGAAACUAAAAGCAGACGUCCAGAAGGCCCUCCUCCUCACUUUGUGGUUUCAACAAAUGGGCAGUGCUCAGGUCCAGCUCUAAAGCUCUGCCACCUUGAACCUAACACAUGGGGUUUCCCUCCCACUCCUCCACCUGCAUCAACACAAUCAAACCUUGUCCUUUUUGGACAACGCAAGUCACUCUGAAUCAAUGUACCAGUUGGCUUAUCAGGGAGAGGUCGUCGAGACUCGAGUACAUCGGAGUGAGGAGUCCUCCAAAUCUCGAGCCUCUCCUCUUGACUAUUAGCAGUUGGCGAAAAUUUAUCAGCCGAUCAGAACAGGGAGCACUUUGCUUGGAAAUUCUCGUGGAAUGGGUCUGGCUGGUGGUCUUGUCAGGAGACUCUUCUCCAGAACUCGAUCUCGUUCGGGCUUUUCAAAAUGUCAUGUAAAAACCCCUUCAUAUCUCGGAGACACUUUUGCCGCUUUGCUAUGGCAUCCUGUUUGUCUUAUGAUUGGUUGAUGCUUGUGGUUAAUAUGUUUCUUUGACGUGAGGGACUGCUCUAUUAUCUGGGACCAAUUCGCUACCGCUGGAGAAUUAAACUGUGGUUCAUGAGAGCAAUGCAUCAUGGAAACUGCUGAUUGAUGCAGCACUAAGCAUGUAUUUGAUCUCCAUCUUCUCCUCAGUUUUGUGUAUGUUUUAGUAUUAGUUAGAGUGGUGUUGUCGGUCUGCGUUCUUUUAUUUUUGCAAUAGAUUUCAUUAAAUGCUGCUACGUAUUUCUAAUUCCUCGACUUCCAAGUUUACCACAUUGUCCUCUGUUGUCUACACUUCUCCGUUACCAGAGAGUUGCUUAUAAAUAAAUAUUCUUCUUCUUACGUUACAAGUUGGACUUGUUGAUUUUNNNNNNNNNNNNNNNNNNNNAAGGACGUGGCCGAGGCCGUGGACGUGGCAGAAACUCUAAAAGGUCUGAAAUACAAUGUUAUGUUUGCAAAAGGUAUGGACAUUACUCUUAUGAAUGUUAUUAUAAUCCUAACAAUCAAGGUGAUAAGGCAAAUUUUGUUGAGGAAGAAAAGAAGGAAAAUCAAGUUUUGCUAAUGAGUUAUGAAAAUUUGAAAAAUGAUCAGUCUAUGACAUGGUAUCUAGAUACAGGAGCCUCAAAUCACAUGUGUGGCAUCAAAGAGCUAUUUUCAGAAAUGGAUACAAGUUAUUCCGGGAACAUUACAUUUGGUGAUUUGUCUCAAAGACCAGUAAGAGGCAAAGGUAAAAUUCUCCUUGAACUUAAUAAUGGCAAGGAAGUAUGUAUUUCAGAUGUUUAUUAUGUUCUUGAUAUGAAAAAUAAUAUUCUAAGCUUGGGACAAUUGCUUGAAAAAGGUUAUGAAAUUGAGAUGAAAGAUAUGACUCUCUCAAUUCGUGACAAGAAUAAAACAUUGAUAUCACAUGUGAAAAUGGCAAGGAAUAGAAUGUUUCCUCUACAUUUGAGUAUUUUUGAUCAAUCAAAUUGUUUUAAAGCUGAUAUUGAUGAUAUUUCUACACUUUGGCAUCUUAGAUAUGCUCAUUUAAAUUUUGAGGCUUUGAAACUUCUAGAAAAGUAUAAUAUGGUGACAGGAAUGCCAAAAAUUGAUCGUCCAGCAAAAUUAUGUGAAGUAUGUGUCAUGGGUAAGCAAGAAAGAAAGCCUUUCAAAGUGAGAAGGACAAAAAGAGCAUGGAAUCGACUUGAUCUGGUACACUCAGAUGUUUGUGGCCCUAUUAAUCCAGUAUCACUUGGAGGAAGCAGGUAUUUUCUUACCUUCACGGAUGAUCAUAGUGGAAAAACUUGGGUUUAUAUGUUAAAAGAAAAGAAAGAAGUUUUAAGCAAAUUCAAAGAAUUUAAGGAUUUGGUUGAAAGACAAAGUUGUUGUAAGAUUAAAUGUUUAAGAACAGAUAGAGGUGGUGAAUAUAUAUCAAAUGAAUUUGAAAGUUUUUGUAGAAAUAAUGGAAUUCUACAUCAAUUCACCAUGUCAUACACACCUCAACAAAAUGGUGUCUCGGAAAGAAAAAAUAGGACUAUCCUUAAUAUGGUUCGAUGCAUGUUAAAGGAAAGAAAAAUUCCGAAAGAAUUUUGGGGUGAUACUGUUGCUUGUGCAAUUUAUUUGCUUAACAGGUUUCCGACAAAGCGAAUUGGUAAUGUUACACCAGAAGAAGCAUGGAGCUUACAGAAACCAAGAGUUGAUCAUUUAAGGAUUUUUGGCAGUGUUGCAUUUGCCAAGAUACCAGAAGAGAAGAGAACAAAAUUGGAGGAUAAAAGUCAAAAAUGCAUUUUGCUAGGUUAUCCAGAAAAUUCCAGUGGUUACAAACUCUACAAUCCUAUCACAAAUAAAGUUGUGAUGUCAAGAGAUGUUGAGUUUGAUGAACAACAGAUUUGGAACCGGAAAAGUGAUGAACAGCAUAAGAAAGCUGUAGCUUCAGAAGAAGAUGAUAUAAUACAAGCAAGCACCGAAGUUGCUGUGCCGGAAUCAUCACCUAGAUCAGCUAGGUUACAUGAUUCAAGAAGUCCAAUUAUUAGAAGGACAAGACCUAUUCAGGACCUAUAUGAUGUGACUCGAAGGAUUGAUACUAACAAUGAUGAACUUUCUUUAUUUUGUCUUUUUGCAGGAUAUGAUCCAUUAACCUUCGAAGAAGCUUAUAGAGAUGAAAAAUGGCGACAAGCUAUGAAUGAAGAAAUUCAUGCCAUUAACAAAAAUAAUACAUGGGAGCUUACUACACUUCCAGAAGACCACCAAGCUAUCGGUGUUAAGUGGAUCUUCAAAACAAAAAGAAAUGCAAAAGGAGAGGUGGAGAAAUACAAGGCCAGAUUGGUUGCUAAGGGAUAUAAACAACAAUAUGGGAUUGAUUAUGAAGAAGUAUUUACGUCAGUUGCUCGAUUAGAGACAGUAAGAUUACUAAUCUCUCUAGCAGCUCAAAUGAAAUGGAAGAUUUUACAAAUUGAUGUCAAAUCAGUAUUUCUUAAUGGAGUUCUUGAAGAAGAGGUAUAUAUUCAACAACUUCGAAGAAAAACUUGGCAUGCUAGAUGGAACAAGUUUAAGGGGGGAGAAUGUUGGAAUUAAACUUGUUCAAGUAUCAUAAAGAGAUUCAUUUUAUCAUAAAAAAGGUUCAUUGCAUCAAGUGGGAGAAUCAUUACAUCAAGAAGAAAAAAUGGAUUUNNNNNNNNNNNNNNNNNNNNGAGAGAGAGAGAGGAUCUGAUCUUACAGAUGUUGUCUCCGACUCUAAAGACCCUGUCGAUGGUCCAAGCAGCCACAUCAGAAGAGACAUCCCACCCAUGAUCAUCGCCCACUAUAUGUUGCACCGCUUGUGCUGAUGUCAAUAGCAAAGCGACAACAGCAGCAGCAGCAGCAAAGGAGCCGCCGAAAGAAGCAGCCAUGUCGUGAAGAAGAGAAGGGGAAGGAAGCAGAUGGUGGAGACGUGGGAGUGGAAGUGCGGCGGAGGGAGGGGCAGGUAUAUGAAGGAGGUAGACGCGAAAUAACAAGGAAAUGUUUAUUCCGUUUCCUUCAUCCACCCUUCUCAACCAACCGUCUGUCUCUCCGGUAGGUGGCGGGACGAAUGGUGGUUUUCUCUCGUCGUCCGAACCAAACCGAUAGGGUCUCUCUCGCGUAUACCAAUUACCGAUAGCAUCUAAAUUUUCAC